rnacentral:tRNA from 1 species
GGGGAGAUACUCAAGCGGCCAACGAGGGCAGACUGUAAAUCUGCUGGUUUUACCUUCACAGGUUCGAAUCCUGUUCUCCCCACAA